rnacentral:rRNA from 1 species
UACGAAGGGGGCUAGCGUUGUUCGGAAUUACUGGGCGUAAAGCGCACGUAGGCGGACUAUUAAGUCAGGGGUGAAAUCCCGGGGCUCAACCCGGACCUGCCUUGAUACUGGUAGUCUCGAGUCCGGAAGAGGUGAGUGGAAUUCCGAGUGUAGAGGUGAAAUUCGUAGAUAUUCGGAGGAACACCAGUGGCGAAGGCGGCUCACUGGUCCGGUACUGACGCUGAGGUGCGAAAGCGUGGGGAGCAAACAGG